CAGCAGCCACGGUAAUACGAAGGGGGCUAGCGUUGUUCGGAAUUACUGGGCGUAAAGGGUGCGUAGGCGGUUUGGCAAGUCUUGUGUGAAAUCUUCGGGCUCAACCCGAAGCCUGCACGAGAAACUACCGGGCUUGAGUAUUGGAGAGGUGAGUGGAAUUUCCGGUGUAGCGGUGAAAUGCGUAGAUAUCGGAAGGAACACCUGUGGCGAAAGCGGCUCACUGGACAAUAACUGACGCUGAUGCACGAAAGCUAGGGGAGCAAACAGGAUUAGAGACCCCAGUAGUCCCUGUCUCUUAUAA
rnacentral:rRNA from 1 species